CCUACGGGAGGCAGCAGUGAGGAAUAUUGGUCAAUGGCCGUAAGCCUGAACCAGCCAAGUCGCGUGAAGGAAGAAGGAUCUAUGGUUUGUAAACUUCUUUUAUAGGGGAAUAAAGGUAUCCACGUGUGGAUAUUUGCAUGUACCCUAUGAAUAAGCAUCGGCUAACUUCGUGCCAGCAGCCGCGGUAAUACGGAGGAUGCGAGCGUUAGCCGGAUUUAUUGGGUUUAAAGGGUGCGUAGGUUGUUUUUUAAGUCAGCGGUGAAAGUUUGCGGCUCAACCGUAAAAUUGCAAUUGAUACUGGCAGUCUUGAGUACAGGUGAGGUAAGCGGAAUUCGUGGUGUAGCGGUGAAAUGCUUAGAUAUCACGAAGAACCCCGAUUGCGAAGGCAGCUUACUAAACUGUGACUGACAUUGAUGCUCGAAAGUGUGGGUAUCAAACAGGAUUAGAUACCCCAGUAGUC
rnacentral:rRNA from 1 species